rnacentral:rRNA from 1 species
AUGCCUAGUACGGCGAGUGAGCGGCAACAGCUCAAAUUUGAAAGCUGGCUUAGGCCCGCAUUGUAAUUUGCAGAGGAUGCUUCUGGCGAGGUGCCUUCCGAGUUCCCUGGAACGGGACGCCAUAGAGGGUGAGAGCCCCGUAUGGAUGGACACCAGACCUGUGUGAAGCUCCUUCAACGAGUCGAGUAGUUUGGGAAUGCUGCUCUAAAUGGGAGGUAAAUCUCUUCUAAAGCUAAAUACCGGCCAGAGACCGAUAGCGCACAAGUAGAGUGAUCGAAAGAUGAAAAGCACCUUGAAAAGGGGGUUAAACAGUACGUGAAAUUGUUGAAAGGGAAGCGCUUGUGACCAGACUUGCGCCGGGCAGCUCAUCAGGGGUUCUCCCCUGUGCACUCUGCCCGGCUCAGGCCAGCAUCGGUUCUCGUGGGAGGAUAAGAACGGUAGGAACGUGGCCCCCCUCCGGGGGGGUGUUAUAGCCUGCCGUACGAUACUCCCGUGGGGACCGAGGUUCGCGCUCCGCAAGGAUGCUGGCGUAAUGGUCAUCAGCGACCCGUCUUAAAA